rnacentral:rRNA from 1 species
GUUUGCGGUGCCAGGGGUCCGAGGCCGAGAUAUCCUCGCGUGUGGAAAACUGAUAAGAGAAUCGGAACCGUGUCCAAGUCGCAGAAGCUUGUCAAAUGUAUUAAGGGUUUGUCUAAUGUAAAGGAGGAGGUUUAUGGUGCUCUUGAUUCAUUUGUUGCAUGGGAACUGGAGUUUCCCUUGAUAGCGGUAAAGAAAGCACUGAAGACGCUUGAAGAUGAGAAGGAAUGGAAAAGAAUAAUUCAGGUUAUCAAGUGGAUGUUCAAUAAAGGUCAAGGGAAGACCAUGGGAAGCUAUCAAACUUUAUUAAAUGCUUUAGUCGAGGAUGGACGAAUUGAGGAAGCAGAAGAGCUAUUUCAAAAGAUAUUCUCGAGAUACAUGGAGGGUUUGCCCCGUAUUUUUUUCAUGAAAAUAAUCUCCUUGUAUUACAGAUUGGGGUCAUACGAGAAGAUGUUUGAGGUUUUUGCUGAUAUGGAAGAGCUGGGUGUUCGACCUGAUACCUCGAUUGUCAGGAUGCUCGGUGAUGUAUUUAUGAAGCUAGAGAUGUUGGACAAAUACGAAAAGUUAAAUAGGAAAUAUCCACCGCCAAAAUUUGAAUACCGAUACAUCAAAGGCAAGCGCAUAAGGAUAAGGGUUUAUCCAGACGAUAGUACUGAAGAGGUAACACAGAGAGACUCUGGUAGAGAUGAACCGGAAGAUGCAGGAAGCAUGAAUCCUGACAAUGAAUUGAAAGAAGUGCCAGGAACAGGCCUGGACAUGAAUGUAUUAGGCGAUGCGGCUUCUGGAGACCUUGAAUUUGUGUAG